AAAAAUGAAGAGUUAAUCUUCUCAGGACA
rnacentral:tRNA from 1 species